rnacentral:rRNA from 1 species
UACGGAGGAUCCGAGCGUUAUCCGGAUUUAUUGGGUUUAAAGGGUGCGUAGGCGGCUUUGUAAGUCAGUGGUGAAAUCUUCGAGCUUAACUCGGAAACUGCCAUUGAUACUGCAGAGCUUGAAUAUGUUUGAAGUGGGCGGAAUGUGUAGUGUAGCGGUGAAAUGCUUAGAUAUUACACAGAACACCAAUUGCGAAGGCAGCUCACUAAACCAUGAUUGACGCUGAGGCACGAAAGUGUGGGGAUCAAACAGG